UCUCCUCUCUCUCCCGUCCGUCCAACUUGGUGGCCUGCCUGCUGCUCUGCUCUUCCGUCCGUGCGUGCGUGCGUGCGUGCUGGGAUCGCCAUGGAGGUCUCCGGCCCCGUCGUCACGCUCACCCCCGGUCAGGUGUCCUUUCUGCUUCGUCUUUUCCCGGUCCUCGUCGCAUGGAUCUACUCCGAGGUCCUGUACUACAAGAAGAAACCUUCGUCGACACACGGGCCCCGGAACAGAUAUACCAAAGCCAAUUUAUUACGUAUCUGCUAAAUGAUGGUGCUAUAUCCCUUGAGUGGAAGGUGGACGCUGCCAGCGGAACAUGGCAAACAACUUGUUCACAUGGUGCUGAUAGAGCUUCACUUCAUUACCCCCGUGACAGUACCUUUCAAGCUCUCUGCAGUAUUGGAUAGCAGGGGGUGGUCCUGAAUUUAGUUUCAUUUUGGUAAGAUCAAAAUGAAGCAGCACAUGUAAGAAAGCUGAAUACUAUUUAUUGUUAGGAGACUAAGCUUUCAUCAAGAGAAAAGUAGAAUUGACCUUGAAACCUAUGGUAGGAAGAAUAUAGUAAGCAGGUUAGUUAAGUUGAGCAUCAUUGAUCGGCCUGAUAUAUGUUUUUUUGGUUCUAAGGCAGAUAAUUGGCGUCGAAGAAGUAUAGAAGAUCAUAAAAACUAUUAGUUCAUUUUAUUUUAAAUGGAGAAUAUCAGAACAGUAUAAUAAGCAUUGUAGCCUAGCAUUGGUUCACCGUGAAUGAUAUACUUCGGAUGCUCAUAUUCUUCACCUUGUAUAAGUAUCGUGAGAAAUGUUAGUGCGAGAAAUCAGAAAUUUGUUUGCUGGCAAUAGCAAUUGUGGGCGUACAGUUAAAUUAUGCACUUUAAAAGAGCAGUAAAAUGGAUUUAACUUGUGUAGUUUGGUUCUUUUAUAAAUAAACCAGUAUGUAAUCACUUGAGUAUAUGUGCAUCAACCGUUUGGGGCUAUUUAAUUCCGCUUUUCCUGGCUAAUAUCUGUACAAGUACUUUAGAUUUGGGGCUGAACAGUGCACCAACUGUUGCAUUAUAUAUAUCGUGUGAUGCAUAGCAGGCCUAUUAAUCAAUUUAGGGGCAGAACAGAUGACCUAUUGAUUUAGGCCUAUUGCUUUGGGGCUGAACAAAUGACCCGUUGCGCUGAUGGCGCAAAAGGCGAGGGCAAACCAAGCAUUAAAAGCAUGCAUGUUAGAAUAUUUAGAUACCGAUUAGGCCAUAAGGAAAUAGAUAUUUAGGUAUGAAGUUGAUAGGUAGCAUUAUAAGAAAAGGAUGGAGAUCAGUUUACGAUAGCUUAUCUGCAUUGCCUUUAUCAAGCAAACUACAUAGGUAGAGAUGCAUCAUAUAUACAUAGCUUUGAUCAUUUAGCUCAUGGUGAGAAGUGAUGAAUCUCAGGUAGAGUAUUGCCAUUGUUGCACGUGCCCCUUUAAUACCAUGUGCUCGAUUUUAUUUUAAUUUUGCAUUUUUCAACAACUCUGUGUUUGAGAAAGUUCAUACGGUAAGAACUUAGGCGUACAUACAAAAAGAUAAUGUAGGUUUAUAUUUUAAAAAUAUAUGUACCUUCAAAAUCAUAGGUGCUUUUGAAACAUAUUUUUAUAUCAUGGUCUUUCUUUUAUAGUUACUAGUAAGUAUGCACAUGCAACGCACGUAUCAUAGAGUUAUGAAAUAGAGAGAAAAUUGGAUCGCGGGAAGGGGAGCGGUGGCAUAAGUGUCGAGGGAGGAGGAUUGAUUAUUGCGGCGGCCAUGCCUAUAGGUUCCCUUGGUGUUUCCAGGUUAAUUUUAGUGACUCCUUUGAUUAUGUUGGACUAUUGUAGAAAAGAUUAUUGGAAACUUUUUUUGUGUGUAAAAUAGGUAAUCAAUAAUUGGAAAGCAUGUCCGUGCUGGAUGGAAGAGGUAAAAGAAAUUUCCAAGGUAAGACCUGAAGCUUCCUUGAACUAAAUGUUGGUUACGCAAGCAGUCGAAGUUAGC